rnacentral:rRNA from 1 species
GGGUUGUCAUGCCAAUGGCAUUGCCCGGUAGCUAAAUGCGGAAGAGAUAAGUGCUGAAAGCAUCUAAGCACGAAACUUGCCCCGAGAUGAGUUCUCCCUGACUCCUUGAGAGUCCUGAAGGAACGUUAAAGACGAUGACGUUGAUAGGUCGGGUGUGUAAGUGUAGCGAUACAUUGAGCUAACCGAUACUAAUGAACCGUGAGGCUUAACCUU